AGAGUUUGAUUAUGGCUCAGGAUGAACGCUGGCGGCGUGCCUAACACAUGCAAGUCGAACGGGCCUUAUAUUGACAGAGACUUCGGUCAACGAAGAUUUAAGGUUAGUGGCGGACGGGUGAGUAACGCGUGGAGAACCUGCCCCGGAGAGGGGGAUAACACUCAGAAAUGGGUGCUAAUACCGCAUAAGCGCACGGUACCGCAUGGUACAGUGUGAAAAACUCUGGUGCUCCGGGAUGGCUCCGCGUUGGAUUAGCCAGUUGGCGGGUAACGGCCCACCAAAGCGACGAUCCAUAGCCGGCCUGAGAGGGUGAACGGCCACAUUGGGACUGAGACACGGCCCAGACUCCUACGGGAGGCAGCAGUGGGGAAUAUUGCACAAUGGGGGGAACCCUGAUGCCAGCGACGCCGCGUGAAGGAAGAAGUAUCUCGGUAUGUAAACUUCUAUCAGCAGGGAAGAAGGAAGACGGUACCUGCACAAGAAGCCCCGGCUAACUACGUGCCAGCCGCAGC
rnacentral:rRNA from 1 species